AAUUCAGUAGUUUAUAAAAAAUAUUAAAUUGCAAAUUUAAAGAAAUUAAUUAUCUGGAUUU
rnacentral:tRNA from 1 species